UUUUAUGGAGAGUUUGAUCCUGGCUCAGGAUGAACGCUGGCGGCGUGCCUAAUACAUGCAAGUCGAGCGAACGGACGAGAAGCUUGCUUCUCUGAUGUUAGCGGCGGACGGGUGAGUAACACGUGGAUAACCUACCUAUAAGACUGGGAUAACUUCGGGAAACCGGAGCUAAUACCGGAUAAUAUUUUGAACCGCAUGGUUCAAAAGUGAAAGACGGUCUUGCUGUCACUUAUAGAUGGAUCCGCGCUGCAUUAGCUAGUUGGUAAGGUAACGGCUUACCAAGGCAACGAUGCAUAGCCGACCUGAGAGGGUGAUCGGCCACACUGGAACUGAGACACGGUCCAGACUCCUACGGGAGGCAGCAGUAGGGAAUCUUCCGCAAUGGGCGAAAGCCUGACGGAGCAACGCCGCGUGAGUGAUGAAGGUCUUCGGAUCGUAAAACUCUGUUAUUAGGGAAGAACAUAUGUGUAAGUAACUGUGCACAUCUUGACGGUACCUAAUCAGAAAGCCACGGCUAACUACGUGCCAGCAGCCGCGGUAAUACGUAGGUGGCAAGCGUUAUCCGGAAUUAUUGGGCGUAAAGCGCGCGUAGGCGGUUUUUUAAGUCUGAUGUGAAAGCCCACGGCUCAACCGUGGAGGGUCAUUGGAAACUGGAAAACUUGAGUGCAGAAGAGGAAAGUGGAAUUCCAUGUGUAGCGGUGAAAUGCGCAGAGAUAUGGAGGAACACCAGUGGCGAAGGCGACUUUCUGGUCUGUAACUGACGCUGAUGUGCGAAAGCGUGGGGAUCAAACAGGAUUAGAUACCCUGGUAGUCCACGCCGUAAACGAUGAGUGCUAAGUGUUAGGGGGUUUCCGCCCCUUAGUGCUGCAGCUAACGCAUUAAGCACUCCGCCUGGGGAGUACGACCGCAAGGUUGAAACUCAAAGGAAUUGACGGGGACCCGCACAAGCGGUGG
rnacentral:rRNA from 1 species